rnacentral:rRNA from 1 species
CCUACGGGAGGCAGCAGUGAGGAAUAUUGGUCAAUGGGCGAGAGCCUGAACCAGCCAAGUCGCGUGAAGGAUGACGGACCUACGGGUUGUAAACUUCUUUUGUCAGGGAGCAAUUGAGUCCACGUGUGGUCUUAGCGAGAGUACCUGAAGAAAAAGCAUCGGCUAACUCCGUGCCAGCAGCCGCGGUAAUUCGGAGGAUGCGAGCGGUAUUCGGAUUUAUGGGGUUUAAAGGGUGCGUAGGCGGAAUAUCAAGUCAGCGGUAAAAAUUCGGGGCUCAACCCCGUCGUGCCGUUGAGACUGAUGUUCUUGAGUGGGCGAGUAGUAUGCGGAAUGCGUGGUGUAGCGGUGAAAUGCAUAGAUAUCACGCAGAACUCCGAUUGCGAAGGCAGCAUACCGGCGCCCAACUGACGCUGAAGCACGAAAGCGUGGGUAUCGAACAGGAUUAGAUACCCCGGUAGUC